rnacentral:tRNA from 2 species
UAAGAACUGCAGGAAUAACCCCACAUCAAUUGAAUGCAAAUCAACUGCUUUAUUUAAGCUAAGCCCUU